CCUACGGGAGGCAGCAGUGAGGAAUAUUGGUCAAUGGCCGAGAGGCUGAACCAGCCAAGUCGCGUGAGGGAAGACGGCACUCCGGGUUGUAAACCUCUUUUGUCGGGGAGCAAAGCGAACCACGUGUGGUUCAUUGCGAGUCCCCGAAGAAAAAGCAUCGGCUAACUCCGUGCCAGCAGCCGCGGUAAUACGGAGGAUGCGAGGGUUAUCCGGAUUUAUUGGGUUUACAGGGUGCGCAGGCGGUCUGUUAAGUCAGCGGGCAAAGCCCGGGGCUAAACCCCGGCCCGCCGUUGAAACUGGCAGUCUCGAGUUGGAGAGAAGUAUGCGGAAUGCGCGGUGUAGCGGUGAAAUGCAUAGAUAUCGCGCAGAACUCCGAUUGCGAAGGCAGCAUGCCGGCUCCACACUGACGCUGAGGCACGAAAGCGUGGGUAUCGAACAGGAUUAGAUACCCGGGUAGUC
rnacentral:rRNA from 1 species